ACUGAAUCCAAGCAUCGUAAAUGGAUGUUUCAAUAAUGCUAUCCGAGACCCAUUUACUAAUUAAAGUAGCUAGCAUAAGAGGGAGAGCAAUGUUUAAAGCUCCUGUUAGUUCAAAAAGAAUUACUACCAAUGCUACUACUAAUCGGGUAGUUGAACUCAAAAAUGCAAUUGAACCAAUCACCCCAUAGAUACUGGUACCUGCAAGCGAUGGGAACCGGCUCUUCAAAAGAGUCCCAACAGCUCUUCCAAUACAUGCACCAAUUGCCAACGACGGGACAAUAAUACCAGUAGGGAUAGCUGCCCCAAAUGUAGCUGAAGUCAAAAGAAGUCCCAAUAAUGCUGAUGUAAAAAGAACUAUUGCAGUUACCCAAAAGGUAGUCUCGCAUAACACAGUUGACGAAGAAGGAGAACAGGAGUUGAUAACUUGGGGGAACAGCUCCAUUGGAUUAAACAACAGCUCGCUUUCACCUAGAAUGGCAUAAGCCGUCAAGGAUGUUAUCAAAGAUAAAAAAAUAACAAAAAAAACGUUAGAAAUCUUUGAAAAGCCUUUGGUCUUUGAAGCAAACUUCAUGUUAAGGUAAAUUAAAACAGAUCCUAAGCAUCCACAUAAAAUGCUAAUGAAUAUAAAGGGAAGUGUAUCUUUAUAACUCCAACGUCUAUCCAAAGAAACAUAAGAAAGAUAUCCAACAUCUGUGUGCCAAGACCUAAUCAACUGUAGAGCUACCACAGAAGACGCAGAGCACAAAAACUCGUACCAAAUGGAGCCAGUAAAUAAGCUUGGAAAAGAACUAGAAGCUAGUUGUUCUAAAGCAAAAAUAACACCACCAACAGGAGCAUUAAAAGAAGCAGCAAUACCGGAGGCCAUAGCAGCAGCAAGCAAUUGUCUAGUAAAAAUUUCAGAAUCAGCAAGACUUGGAGCUAUUCUUUCAACUAAAUAUAUUAUAUUUGUCGCUAUAUGAACAAAUGGCCCUUCUUUUCCAACCCAUAAACCAGAUGCAACACUGAAACAAACAGCUAAAGAUUUGGAACAAAGGGUUUUUAUAGAAAAAAAAACGUUCAUAUCAGGGUAUUUAUAGCCACUCAAAAUUGCUUUAAUUGUCGGAAUGCCACUAGCUCUAGCAGCAGGAGCUACUACAUAACCUAAAGUAGUUGCUAUGAAUGCAAACCCGACUGAAACACUAACGUAUAUCAAACAAGAAACAAAAACGGAAUGAUUGUUUCUCCAAAAAAAAAAUUCCUGACAUUCAUAGUCCUCCGUUAGGGUUGAACAACAAGUCUGUUUGUCAAAAAGUAUAUUCACAGUACAAUACCCUUCACGAAAACUGUUAAGUAAUGAUGCGAGAGCAUUUAAUAAAGCAGCUGUUAAGCCGAUAAAUAUACCUUCCAAAAAUGUCAGAAAUCAGAUAAAGAGAAUACAGUAAAUCAACAGUCAAAUAAAAUAUCACGUACACUACCAACAUGCAGAUGCAUUUAAAUGGUUGGAUUACGUACCUGAAAUAAUGGAAAUAAUUGAAUAUUUGGUUUCUAAACCUAGAAACCUGAAACGGCCUGCAAGACGAUUAGCACUUUUCUGCUCUUCAUAUCUCUCGUGAAUCCAAUCAAUG
rnacentral:lncRNA from 1 species